rnacentral:rRNA from 1 species
AUUGAACGCUGGCGGCAGGCCUAACACAUGCAAGUCGAGCGGAUGAAGGGAGCUUGCUCCUGGAUUCAGCGGCGGACGGGUGAGUAAUGCCUAGGAAUCUGCCUGGUAGUGGGGGAUAACGUCCGGAAACGGGCGCUAAUACCGCAUACGUCCUGAGGGAGAAAGUGGGGGAUCUUCGGACCUCACGCUAUCAGAUGAGCCUAGGUCGGAUUAGCUAGUUGGUGGGGUAAAGGCCUACCAAGGCGACGAUCCGUAACUGGUCUGAGAGGAUGAUCAGUCACACUGGAACUGAAACACGGUCCAGACUCCUACGGGAGGGAGCAGUGGGGAAUAUUGGACAGUGGGCGAAAGCCUGGUCCAGCCGUGCCGCGUGUGUGAAGAAGGUCUUCGGAUUGUAAAGCACUUUAAGUUGGGAGAAAGGGCAGUAAGUUAAUACCUUGCUGUAUUGACGUUACCAACAGAAUAAGCACCGGCUAACUUCGUG